rnacentral:tRNA from 1 species
AUCUGAGUAGUUUAAUUAAAAAUUUUAAUUUGUGAUAUUAGAGAUGCAUUAUUAUUUAUUGCCUUAGAUU